AGCAGCAGCCGCGGUAAUACGAAGGGUGCAAGCGUUACUCGGAAUUACUGGGCGUAAAGCGUGCGUAGGUGGUUGUUUAAGUCUGCUGUGAAAGCCCUGGGCUCAACCUGGGAAUUGCAGUGGAUACUGGGCAACUAGAGUAAGGUAGAGGAUAGUGGAAUUUCCGGUGUAGCAGUGAAAUGCGUAGAGAUCGGAAGGAACAUCUGUGGCGAAGGCGACUAUCUGGGCCAUUACUGACACUGAGGCACGAAAGCGUGGGGAGCAAACAGGAUUAGAUACCCCUGUAGUCCCUGUCUCUUAUAC
rnacentral:rRNA from 1 species